rnacentral:rRNA from 1 species
GGACUACCCGGGUAUCUAAUCCUGUUUGCUCCCCACGCUUUCGCGCCUCAGCGUCAGUUCCGGGCCAGUGAGCCGCCUUCGCCACUGGUGUUCUUGCGAAUAUCUACGAAUUUCACCUCUACACUCGCAGUUCCACUCACCUCUCCCGGACUCAAGACAAUCAGUAUCAAAGGCAGUUCCAAGGUUGAGCCUUGGGAUUUCACCCCUGACUUAAUCGCCCGCCUACGCGCCCUUUACGCCCAGUAAAUCCGAACAACGCUAGCCCCCUUCGUAUUACCGCGGCUGCUGGCAC